UACGUAGGUGGCAAGCGUUGUCCGGAUUUACUGGGCGUAAAGAGCGCGCAGGCGGUCGUGCAAGUCGCGUGUGAAAGCCCCCGGCUCAACUGGGGAGGGUCACGCGAUACUGCUCGACUCGAAGGCAGGAGAGGAAAGUGGAAUUCCCGGUGUAGUGGUGAAAUGCGUAGAUAUCGGGAGGAACACCAGUGGCGAAGGCGACUUCCUGGCCUGUUCUUGACGCUGAGGCGCGAAAGCUAGGGUAGCAAACGGGGAUUAAGAAACCCUUG
rnacentral:rRNA from 1 species